rnacentral:rRNA from 1 species
UGAAUACGAGACGCUAAGGCGUCGAAGUAGUGUAUGUCAUACUUCCAAGAAAAGCUUGCACUGUCAUAAGUAAAAAAUGCCUGUACCAUAACCGACACAGGUGGGUAGGUAGAGUAUACUAAGGGGCGCGAGAUAACUCUCUCUAAGGAACUCGGCAAAAUAACUCCGUAACUUCGGGAGAGGGAGUACCUUAUUCUAUAAGGUUGCAAUAACAAGAUCCAAGCAACUGUUUAUCAAAAACACAGGUCUCCGCUAAGUCGUAAGACGAUGUAUGGGGGCUGACGCCUGCCCAGUGCCAGAAGGUUAAAGAAGUCGGUUAGCAUUAGCGAAGCUGGUAACUGAAGCCCUGGUGAACGGCGGCCGUAACAAUAACGGUCCUAAGGUAGCGAAAUUCCUUGUCGGGUAAGUUCCGACCCGCACGAAAGGCGUAAUGAUUUGGAUACUGUCUCGGAGAGGGGCUCGGUGAAAUAGACUUGUCUGUGAAGAUGCGGACUACCUGCACCAGGACAGAAAGACCCUAUGAAGCUUUACUGUAACUUGAAAUUGAAAUUGGACUUUAUUCGCGCAGUAUAGGUGGGAGGUGUUGAUUAUAAUCUUGCGGGAUUAUUGGAGCCAUCAGUGAGAUACCACUCUUGUAAUGUUAGAUUUCUAACUUUGAAUCAUUAUCUGGUCAAAGGACAGUUUCAGGCGGGCAGUUUGACUGGGGCGGUCGCCUCCCAAACGGUAACGGAGGCGUACAAAGGUUUCCUCUGAACGGGUAGAAAUCGUAUCUAGAGUGUAAAGGCAUAAGGAAGCUUGACUGUGAGACCUACAAGUCGAACAGGGACGAAAGUCGGUCUUAGUGAUCUGACAGUACUGAGUGGAAAGGCCGUCACUCAACGGAUAAAAGUUACUCUAAGGAUAACAGGCUGAUCUCCCCCAAGAGUUCACAUCGACGGGGAGGUUUGGCACCUCGAUGUCGGCUCAUCGCAUCCUGGGGCGGUAGUACGUCCCAAGGGUUGGGCUGUUCGCCCAUGAAAGCGGUACGCGAGCUGGGUUCAGAACGUCGUGAGACAGUUCGGUCCAUAUCCGGUGUAGGCGUUAGAAUAUUGAGAGGAGCCUUCUUUAGUACGAGAGGACCGAGAAGGACAUACCUCUGGUGUACCAGUUAUCGUGCCAACGGUAAACGCUGGGUAGCUAUGUAUGGAGUGGAUAACCGCUGAAAGCAUCUAAGUGGGAAGCCCACCUCAAGAUAAGUAUUCUCA